rnacentral:rRNA from 1 species
CAGUAGCCGCGGGAAUACGGAGGGUGCAAGCGUUAAUCGGAAUUACUGGGCGUAAAGCGCACGCAGGCGGUUUGUUAAGUCAGAUGUGAAAUCCCCGGGCUCAACCUGGGAACUGCAUUUGAAACUGGCAAGCUAGAGUCUCGUAGAGGGGGGUAGAAUUCCAGGUGUAGCGGUGAAAUGCGUAGAGAUCUGGAGGAAUACCGGUGGCGAAGGCGGCCCCCUGGACAAAGACUGACGCUCAGGUGCGAAAGCGUGGGGAGCAAACAGGAUUAGAGACCCCUGUAGUCCCUGUCUCUUAUAC